rnacentral:ncRNA from 1 species
AAGGAUAAAGAUAAAAACACGAUCCGGUUGGUAGUCCGGAUGUACAUUUUCAUGUAUCAGUAACCUUCCCCCCCAUGGGAUGUCCAUUCUUUAUCUGUGGUGU